UACAGAGGGGGCAAGCGUUGUUCGGAAUUACUGGGCGUAAAGGGCGCGUAGGCGGCCUGUUAAGUCGAACGUGAAAUCCCCGGGCUCAACCCGGGAACUGCGUCCGAUACUGGCAGGCUUGAAUCCGGGAGAGGGAUGUGGAAUUCCAGGUGUAGCGGUGAAAUGCGUAGAUAUCUGGAGGAACACCGGUGGCGAAGGCGGCAUCCUGGACCGACACUGACGCUGAGGAGCGAAAGCCAGGGGAGCAAACGGG
rnacentral:rRNA from 1 species